rnacentral:rRNA from 1 species
GACGAACGCUGGCGGCGUGCCUAAUACAUGCAAGUAGGACGCAGUUGCGAACGGGUGAGUCACGCGUAGGUAACUACCUAUUAGAGGGGGAUAACUAUUGGAAACGAUAGCUAAUACCGCAUACUAGUAGAUGGACCUGCGUUGUAUUAGCUAGUAGGUAGGGUAAUGGCCUACCUAGGCAACGAUACAUAGCCGACCUGGGAGGGGUAGUGGCCAACAUUGGACGGAUACACGGCCCAGACGCCUGAGGGAGGCAGCAGUAGGGAAUCUUCGGCAAGGGGGGGAACACUGGCCAAGCAACGCCGCGUGAGUGAAGAAGGUUUUCGGAUCGUAAAGCUCUGUUGUUAAGGAAGCGGUACUUAACCAGAAAGGGACGGCUAACUACGUGCCAGCCGCCGCGGUAAUUC